UACGAAGGGGGCUAGCGUUGCUCGGAAUCACUGGGCGUAAAGGGUGCGUAGGCGGGUCUUAAGUCAGGGGUGAAAUCCUGGAGCUCAACUCCAGAACUGCCUUUGAUACUGAAGAUCUUGAGUUCGGGAGAGGUGAGUGGAACUGCGAGUGUAGAGGUGAAAUUCGUAGAUAUUCGCAAGAACACCAGUGGCGAAGGCGGCUCACUGGCCCGAUACUGACGCUGAGGCACGAAAGCGUGGGGAGCAAACGGG
rnacentral:rRNA from 1 species